GAUGAACGCUGGCGGCGUGCCUAAUACAUGCAAGUCGAGCGAACAGACGAGGAGCUUGCUCCUCUGACGUUAGCGGCGGACGGGUGAGUAACACGUGGAUAACCUACCUAUAAGACUGGGAUAACUUCGGGAAACCGGAGCUAAUACCGGAUAACAUGUUGAACCGCAUGGUUCAACAGUGAAAGACGGUCUUGCUGUCACUUAUAGAUGGAUCCGCGCCGCAUUAGCUAGUUGGUAAGGUAACGGCUUACCAAGGCAACGAUGCGUAGCCGACCUGAGGGGGUGAUCGGCCACACUGGAACUGAAACACGGUCCAGACUCCUACGGGAGGCAGCAGUAGGGAAUCUUCCGCAAUGGGCGAAAUCCUGACGGAGCAACGCCGCGUGAGUGAAGAAGGUCUUCGGAUCGUAAAACUCUGUUAUUAGGGAAGAACAAAUGUGUAAGUAACUAUGCACGUCUUGACGGUACCUAAUCAGAAAGCCACGGCUAACUACGUG
rnacentral:rRNA from 1 species